AGUUCUAUGGUCUAGUGGUAUGACGUUCCCUUCACAAGCUUAAAAACUGCGGGAAAGGUCCUGGGUUCGAUCCCCAGUAGGACUA